rnacentral:snRNA from 1 species
GUGGUCCAGCUGGGAACGAGCCAGCAGGCC